rnacentral:misc_RNA from 1 species
GUAGAGGUUCUCCUGCUGCUAACAUCCAAUCUCAAUCCCGGCAACCUACCUUUUGUGGAUGUUCUAUUAGCAUUACAGAGUCUUAAGUGAGCUAGAGACGAGAGUAAGAGAGAAAGAAGGGGGAAGAAGCAAAGAAAAAGGGCUCUUAGAUAAUACUUAAUAGCAGAUGCACGCCCGAUUCUGUUGUCUUGUAAAUACAAUUAUUUACUUCUAAGUACAUAUCCUCAGGAUUCCUGGCCGGGCAUCCCUACCCUACUACUAGCAGCACCUCACUCAAUCAUCUUGGAACUCCUGCCGUUGUUGAAGCAUAUUGUACACACUUAAAUGAUAAACUCUUUUCCUCCUACUUGUAAUUGUUCUUAGUUACUACUUACUACUGUAGUAUAACGUCUAGUUUGAGAGAAGUUAGCAUUCCUCAUUUCCCCACAACUCGUCCUCCUCUUUUUUUACUCCAGAGGGAGGAUCCAGACAAUAACAAGUGUACAUAACUACUACCUACUUAGCCAGGAGCAACACUUUUCUAAACAUGUAAGAACCAACUUCAAUCUCAUUGUGUGAUGCUACUGCUACUACUACAUCUUUGAGAGAGAAAUCCGUUCAAGAAACUCACUUGGGAUAAAAUCUUGUUAAUAAAACUUCAACACAAAUCCGAGUUCAAGCAGCACAAAAUGAAAAAGUUUGUAUCCAUCAAAGGUGUCAUAGACAAUAUUCGUCUAAGUGUGAACACACCCCCCACUCCCUCUGGAACAAUGUCAAGUGGCUCUCCGGGUCCAGUUAGACUUGAAAAAGAGAUCAUAGAAUCCCUCACUCCUGAGCAAUUUACACUUCAACCUACUCUACGCCAUGGAUUCCCUUUCAAACCUCUUUCUAUGGCUUAUGAUUCAGUACAAAAACUUAUGGCAAUUGGAAAUCGCUCUGGAGUCGUUAAGAUAUAUGGGAAACCUGGGAUUGAUUCAGAAAUAUUCCAUGAAAAUGGUCCAGGUGUGCUACAAAUACUAUUCUUAGUUAACAGUGGAAAGCUCCUCACAACUACGACAGAUGAUCGUCUCAAUCUGUGGGACUUUAAAAAGAAAACACCGGAGCUCCUUCAGUCUAUUCGUCUUCAAAAGGAGAGCAUAUCCACUGUAUUUUCAGAUUUUCAGGAUAAGUUUGUUUAUAUUGGAACUGAAAAGGGGACUCUACAUGUACUGAGUAUAGAAUCAUUUUCUUUAAGUGGCUAUUCAAUUCCAUGGAAUAAGUUUAUGGAUCCUCUUUCGACUGCCCAACCAGGCUCUAUUAUUAUCAUCAAUGUUAACCCUGCGGAUCCGUCAAAGAUCUUAGUGGGAUUUGAUUCUGGUCUCAUGGUUAUUUUUGAUUUUCCAUCAAAGAAUGGGGAAUCAAGAUAUCGCUAUGCAGGUGGAAAGCUAUACAAUAUGUCGUGGCAUAUGGAUGGUCGACAAUUUGUGUCAUCGCACGGUGAUGGGAGUCUUGUUACCUGGAAUGUUAAAGCUCCUGGGUCGAUUGCCUCCUGUAAUCAUACAAAGCCCACUUCAGUUAUAUUUCCUCAUGCGAAGAAGGACAAAGAAAGUGGGAAAAUGUGUCCUUGUGACCCUAUUGAUAAAGUUUAUUGGAGAGUGAGACGUUCAACUUCCGAGUCAUAUUUUGUUUUUUCUGGUGGACUUCCUUCAGAUGUCACUGGAGUUACUCCAAGUGUAACUGUUCUUCAAGGGAAAACCACUACUCUAUUAGAAAUGGAAUAUUGUGUCAUUGAUUUUAUAAUUGUAACAGAUUCUUGUUAUAGGUCUGACUAUAACGAACCUGAGGCCAUUAUUGCUAUGCUAACUAAUGAUGUUGUUGCUAUAGAUUGUAAAACUCCCGGUUUUCCAUGUUUUGAAAACCCUUAUGCUAUGAAUUUUAACGAAAGCCCUGUUACGUCUUGUCAUUACAUUGUUGAUGUUCCCUCAGAUUUCAUUCCAUGCCUCUAUCGUGUGGGAGCAUCAAAUUCUAAUCGUAGUUUCUCAAACUUUGAGUGGCCAGUAAGUGGUGGCAUAGAUACUAAUACGGAGUCUUGCUCUUAUGCCGAACUUGUAAUAACUGGACAUGCUGAUGGAAGUGUACGUUUUUGGGACUCCUCAUCUUCGUCGAUGCAAAGUCUUUAUAGAAUCAAAACUGCAAAAUAUUUUGAAAAAGUCAAGAAAAAUGGUGGAGGAGCUGUAGAGGGCUUAGAUGAUGAUCCCUAUGCAAUCAAUAAUAUUCGUCUUUGUCCUGAAAGCAAAAUCCUGAUAGUAUCUGGCUCAGCCGCUCAUAUCAUUGUCUUUAAAUUUCGUAAAAAAGAUACUCAGACGGAUACAAUAUCUUUGGAGAUUCCUAUAAUAUAUGAAGUGUCAGCAUCAAGACCAGAACCAAAAGUCCCUGAAUCUUCUCCACCUACUCUUACACAGCAUUUUGAAUUUCCUCCUCGUCCUCUAUUAAACGUAGCUAGUCAAUCCUCGAGCUAUGCGGAUCCUGUGGAGGGUUUUAACUUUGAUAAGCCCCUACACGAAUUCUUUUCUCCUCUUCGAGUGCGUCAGGGACAACGAAAGUCAGGGAUUGGAUAUCAUCCGGAACUCAUUUGCCUCACUCCUUGGGUUAAUGGUGAACCGCCCUCUCCUAUUAACUGUAUUACUGUGAGCUCUGCGUAUGGCUUAGUUGCAUAUGGCAAUAACUCCGGACUCGUCAUUGUUGAUGUGAUUCAAAAUGUUUGUCUUCUUAAUAUGGGAACAUCAGAUUUAUAUGGGAGUCAAGAUCCAUUUCAUCGGGCGCCAAAGUCACCUAGACCUGUGGAUCCCUCUCCGUGCAAAGAUGAUUUCAUCACACGAGUAGAUUUGAGCAAUUAUAGUCAAGUAGUCCCGAGUGAUAUCUCUAAUAGUCAACCUUCUACAGUUUCCAAUAAUUAUAAUGGGGAUAAAUCAUCGGCUCUCUCUCGUGUUAGAUCUCCAGAUUGUAAAAGACUCAUUAAGACUGGUAGUUCCGCCGAUGAUUCUUCUCUUUCAAAAUCUUCUUCGAUCAAUUCCUUGGAUAACUCUGUCAUCACAGUUGAAGGAGUAACUGCUGUCUCAUUCUCUGAAUCUUUUCCUACAAAAAAUAACUUUGCUUAUAAUCCUUGUCUUUAUGUUGGUACAAGUCUUGGAUCUGUUAUUGUUGUAAUUGUUAAUUUACCUAGUAAUAGUGAUGAUGAGCCUAUUCUUGAUGAUGGGCAAGGAGAAAUAAAUGAUGAUGGGACUAGAAGAUUGGAAGAACCUGUUGUUGUGAGCCCUUCUGGUACUGUGUAUCGAAUCCGAGGCUCUGCGUUGAAUUUUACAUUCUUGGAUUGUUCAUCAUCUCAAGAAAUUGAGCGAGUCAAUGUCAUGAAGCCGGCUACAACUGAACCUAAUAGUCAUGGGGAUGAGUCUAUGAAGCCUGAUCGUCAAAUUCUGGUAGCUUGUUCUGAUAAAUCAGCUUCUGCAUUUUCACUUCCAUCACAGCGAACCAUGUAUUCUCAAACAAUCAAUGAAUCUUCUUCUGUCACUUCUGUUGAAGUUGUCAAUUUUGGCGGUUCUAAAUUUAAUCCUGUGUUAAUUGCUUAUACAACGGAUGGUCGAGUCAAGACAUAUACUGUUCCUUCAAUCCGGCCCAUGCUAGAUGAUUCGCUUAUUCCAGUGGGGAUUGAGAGCUGUACCAAAAGAGUCUCUCACACGCUUUGUUUUGGAAAUUAUGGUCAUGGGCUAUAUUUUAGAAAUCCUACGGAGUGUCAAAAAUUUACCGUAAGUGCUGAUUUCAUGCGUCAGUUGCCCGAGUUGAAGGGCAAUCUUUUCCGUGAAGGGGUUCCUACACCUGAUCCACCAAAGCAAAACUUUUUCAAGGGGCUGUUUGGAGGAGGCCCCAAACCUUGUGAUAGAGAUGAACUAUUCGGAGAAACUUCAGGAAAGCCUCUUUCAGGCGUUGCAAAGCAUAUCCCAGGCACAGCAAUGCAGAAUUCUUUGAGUAAGUCAGUUUCAGCAACCAAUGAAGUUUCAAAAGCAAAGAUGGCCAUGUUAGAGAGAGGCCAAAAGCUAAAUGAAUUGGAGGAUCGUACCGAGCAAAUGGCUAAUGAAGCCAAGAACUAUGCUGCGAAUGCUCAAAAACUUAAACUUGCCUAUCAGAACAAAAGGUGGUACCAAAUGUAAAAGGUCGUUAAUAAACUGAAUUUGCUUGAGAGGACAGUGUGUUGUUGGUGGUGAAUACACACAAUCUUUUUAUGGAAAGAAAAGUUAUUGUUAAAAAAGUUGUAUUGAUAUUUUUAUUACUGCUGAUAAGAAUGUUUAUCUAUUUUUUGUUUAUUUUUAAGUAAGAACUUUUAUUUUAUCUCUCUCUUACACUCUUACUUUGAUAAUAAUUAUAAUGAUUUAUUUUUAUUUUCGAUAACGCAAGGGGUCUUCUGAGACAGAAUUUUUAUUUAUUUCUGUUCUUUAACAAUUUAUGUGUAGCCUUGUACUUAUUUGAAUGAUAAAAAUGAGGAUAUAUGGAUAUCAUUAUUAUAUUAUAUUAUAUUCCUAUUAGUAUUCAUAAACUGUUAUUUCUAGUCUUUAAUACAACAUUGCAUGUUAGGUUGUUUUGUUGCCAUACAUACUUUUAAUUUUUUUAUUUAAACCAAACCAAAGAACGUAAGUACUUAAAGAAUAAAUGUGAAAGGUAAAUAAUUAAUUAAUUAUGUAUUUGAUGUGUAUUAUCAUGAGGACAGGAUCGAAUGACGAGUUCUAACCCGUACACCAAGCCCUACACUCCUUCCCUCCCCCUCUUUCCCAUAUCAGCUUUCAAGUUGGAAACAAGAAUUCUUAAAAAACACUAUCAUUUCUAUUAUUACUAAUAUUUUAUUGUUUUAUUUUUAUUUUUAAGUGACAUUAGUUUUCAGCAAUACUUAAUUUUAAAACUAAAUGCAUCAUACAUAUAAGUUUUUAAGAUAUAAUGUAUCUCCUUGUCCCCAUCAUACAUACAUUUAUACGUCAAUCAUCUAUGUAAGCUACAACCCAUCUCUCAAAUUAUACAUAUCUAACAAGAAUCUACUUCGAAAUGAAUGAUGUAGGAGGAUCAGUGUACUUAUGAGAUUAAGUGGUAAGAAUCGUACAAUUCCUAGCCAAAUUCACUCCCGGCCCACUCCCUCUCCCCAAACCCUCCCUUGGAUCACUUCAUAUUUAAAUUAUUAUUAUAGAAAUGAAUGCAAAGAAGAAGAAAAAAAUAAUGAUGUUCUCAGUCAGUCAUUUAUUAAUUAAUUAUCAAGUCGUUCAUUACAUACUUUUCUUUAAAUGACCAUUUAUUAAUUGCCAAUGUUAAAGAAGAACAAACUAUAUCUUUGUAUCAUUCAUCGACGUUUAAACAACAAAUUACUGAUAAUUAUAUUAAUAUAUACUAUUAUUGUUAAAUACUAUUAUUUUUGCGUUAAUUGCUAAUCCGUAAACAUACAUAUAGUUAAAAAAAGUUAUUAGAAUGAAAAUAUUUAUUAAUUAAUUAAUAUA